AUUACUGAGUCAGGUGUAAAAGUCCCUGGCUUAAAUAAUCUUGCAUUUUUAAAUAAAUACCUUUUGGGAGAAAAAAAUAUAUAGGGUGUGUGUGUGUGUGGAAUGUGAGAAAGUAUUGGUUGAGACCUUUUGGAUUACAACUUUGGUUGGAGAACCUUGAAAUGUGUUUGGACUCUGGACUGCCUGAGAAGGAGAAACUGUACAAUAGCAAUGAAGAAAAAUAAGAAGACGAAGAAGUAGAAGAAAAAGAAGAUGACGAUAAAGACGAAGACGAAGAAGACUACGAAGAAGAAGAAACUGCUAACACUUUCCAGUUUCUGUUCUUUUUCUUCAACACAUGCAUUUAACAGUGACCCUGUAUCCUCAUCUUAAGAAAACAGACAGUCAGACUUGAAAGGCAUGCGGCUUCCCAACAAAUUCCAUGCCAUCCAUAUGUGGGACGGGGCACAAAAUACUAACCCUGAGCUGACUGUAUAAUUUAAAUGAAUAAAUUAUGCAGUAUUACACAUGCAGGGGCGAUGAAAUGAUGCUGACUACAGAUAUUUCAGAGUUUGUUUAAACUUUGAGUUGAGUUGCAAGUGCAUUCAUUUUGGUUUGUGGGCUGUUGGUGGUUUGGGAGAGUGGAUCAUUUAAGAGGCAGAUGGUUUGUGCAUAGAAAAACAUUGUCUCAUAAAAAAAAACUUAGAUGAUUUUUAUACAUUGUUAGAUGCCUAUCACAAAAACACAAUUGAACUAAUCCUGUGCAACACACAACUUUAUCUUGUGUUAUUCUUCAAUCACUUGGCAGAUGUUGUCAUUGAGAAUGAUUUAGUGCAAAUCGUAAAAGAACAAGUACAGAAUAGUAAAUAGUAUCCACAUGAAAUUAAUCACACACAGACGUUGAUUAUCAGGACAACAAACUAAACUUUCAGGACUUUUAGCUGGUUGCAUCCCAAUUUGCACAAACAUUUUCGGGACAUUGGCGAUGACUAUGGUUAUAUUCCCAUUUGGUUGGGGGAUAAUACUAUGAUGAGAAUGUUCUCUAAGAUGAGAACAUGACGAAUGAAGCUUGUUUUCUUUGUAACUGACCAGGGUUGAGUUUUUAUUGCAAUGUUUGUUAUUGACCAUUAUUUGUUGUAUGCCUCCAGUGCCAGUGUUUGGUACUAAUGGGUCAGUCACUUAAUUAUGUUUGUGAAUUCUGGGAAAGAUAGAUAGAUAGAUAGACAGACAGACAAACAGACAGACAGACAGACGCUGGCACUGCCUAACAUUAACUAGAUAGCUUACUUAGCUAGCUAGAUAGUAAUGUUGCUUAGCCAAGGCAAGCAAAAAAAUCACUGCCAUAAUCACACAGCUUCC